CCCAGGCACAAAGAAAGUGGAACUGUUGGCUGAAACAUCAAUGCAGGCCAUAGAGCCCAUCCAGGUACCUCCCAGGAGGAAAUGACCAUGGAAACAAAAGGGGAACGUUGGAAGAUGCUAUUUUUAACCGUUCUCCCCCAUAUUCCUGGUGCUUGGAUACGAGAUGCACCAGUUGGAACACGCUGCAGCAACAUGGAAUGUUUAAAACAUGGAAUGUUUAACUCCAUCUGUGCCAGGGGCAGAGGAUGUGCCAGGAGCCCCAGGCUGGUGGGAUGACCAUGCCCAUUGUAGACCAAACUCUUUGCUGUCCAUCCAUCCACAGCUUCACAGCACCCCACAUCAAGACCCCCAUCAUCAUCAGGAUGUGACAUGACACUCUGUGUGCCCCAAAAUCACACAUUUUGGUGCUGGAUCUGGGCCAGCAGUGGGGGAAGAGCAGGGUUUGGUUGUGCUGAGCGCUGCAGACACCCAGAGAAGGACAUGAGAGCUUGGGCACAGAAGGAGGUGUCCACUGAGGAUGGUCACCAGGUGGGUGGGUGAGAGUUGCCCAGGUGUCACCCAGUGCAUCCCCAUCAUUUGUUGGCAUCCCUCUGCCCCACUAGAAGGGUCCUUUCCUUGGAACAGGGAGGAGACCUCAUCCCCACCAUCUUCUCUUGUCUGCUUUGGGAUGGCAAAGCCCUGAUCAGUCUCAUGGCUUCCACUCCUUAGUGCAGCACUGAUCCACCAAAAAAAUAAAACCCCACACCUGGCAAGGCUGGAGAGGCCC
rnacentral:lncRNA from 1 species